GAGUUUGAUCUUGGCUCAGAACGAACGCUGGCGGCGUGGAUAAGACAUGCAAGUCGAGCGGGACAUUUCGGGUAGCAAUAUUCGGAAUGUUCAGCGGCGCAAGGGUGCGUAACGCGUGGUAAUUUACCGUAAAGCCUCGGGAUAACUUCGCUGAAAGGCGAGCUAAUACCGGAUGUGAUUUCUGGAGGGCAUCUUCUGGAACUUAAAGCUAGGGGAUCGUAAGACCUGGCACUUUUCGGA
rnacentral:rRNA from 1 species